rnacentral:rRNA from 1 species
CCUACGGGAGGCAGCAGUGGGGAAUAUUGGGCAAUGGACGCAAGUCUGACCCAGCAACGCCGCGUGAAGGAAGAAGGCUUUCGGGUUGUAAACUUCUUUUAAGGGGGAAGAGCAGAAGACGGUACCCCUUGCAUCAGCCACGGCUAACUACGUGCCAGCAGCCGCGGUAAUACGUAGGUGGCAAGCGUUGUCCGGAUUUACUGGGUGUAAAGGGAGCGUAGGCCGGUCUUUAAGCGUGCCGUGAAAUUUUGUGGCUCAACCAUGAGAGUGCGGCGCGAACUGGAGACCUUGAGUGCGCGGAAGGCAGGCGGAAUUCGUGGUGUAGCGGUGAAAUGCUUAGAUAUCACGAAGAACCCCGAUUGCGAAGGCAGCCUGCCGCAGCGUGACUGACGCUGAAGCUCGAAAGCGCGGGUAUCGAACAGGAUUAGAUACCCCGGUAGUC